rnacentral:miRNA from 14 species
AUGGACAUUUUUGUAAGAACAUGUGUGUACAUAUACAGGCACGUAUCUGUAUAUACAUAUACAUACACACACACAUAUACACACACAUACACAUGAACGUAUAGAAAUGACCUUAAUGA